rnacentral:rRNA from 1 species
ACUCCUACGGGAGGCAGCAGUGGGGAAUAUUGCACAAUGGGCGCAAGCCUGAUGCAGCCAUGCCGCGUGUAUGAAGAAGGCCUUCGGGUUGUAAAGUACUUUCAGCAGUGAGGAAGGUGGAUAUGUUAAUAGCAUAUUCAUUUGACGUUAGCUGCAGAAGAAGCACCGGCUAACUCCGUGCCAGCAGCCGCGGUAAUACGGAGGGUGCGAGCGUUAAUCGGAAUUACUGGGCGUAAAGCGCAUGCAGGUGGUUUGUUAAGUCAGAUGUGAAAGCCCGGGGCUCAACCUCGGAAUUGCAUUUGAAACUGGCAAACUAGAGUACUGUAGAGGGGGUAGAAUUUCAGGUGUAGCGGUGAAAAUGCGUAGAGAUCUGAAGGAAUACCGGUGGCGAAGGCGGCCCCCUGGACAGAUACUGACACUCAGAUGCGAAAGCGUGGGGAGCAAACAGGAUUAGUUACCCUGGUAG